rnacentral:rRNA from 1 species
CCUACGGGAGGCUGCAGUCGGGAAUAUUGCACAAUGGAGGAAACCCUGAUGCAGUGACGCCGCGUGCAGGAAGAAGGUUUUCGGAUUGUAAACUGCUUUAGACAGGGAAGAAACAAAACAGUACCUGUAGAAUAAGCUCCGGCUAACUACGUGCCAGCAGCCGCGGUAAUACGUAGGGAGCAAGCGUUAUCCGGAUUGAUUGGGUGUAAAGGGUGCGUAGACGGGAAUUUAAGUUAGUGGUGAAAUCACUCGGCUUAACUGAGGAACUGCAACUAAAAUUGAAUUUCUUGAGUGCGGGAGAGGAAAGUGGAAGUCCUAGUGUAGCGGUGAAAUGCGUAGAUAUUAGGAGGAACACCAGUGGCGAAGGCGACUUUCUGGACCGUAACUGACGUUGAGGCACGAAAGUGUGGGGAGCAAACAGGAUUAGAUACCCCUGUAGUC